AGUUCGGAUUGUAGUCUGCAACCCGACUACAUGAAGCUGGAAUCGCUAGUAAUCGCGGAUCAGAAUGCCGCGGUGAAUACGUUCCCGGGUCUUGUACACACCGCCCGUCACACCAUGGGAGUCGGAAAUGCCCGAAGUCUGUGACCCAACCGGAAGGAAGGAGCAGCCGAAGGCAGGUCUGAUGACUGGGGUGAAGUCGUAACAAGGUAGC
rnacentral:rRNA from 1 species